CUGAGUCAGCUCAUAGGAGGCCACGGAUCCUACAGGAGAGAAAACGGGAGAGAAAAGGCUUGAAACUGAGGAGCUGAACUCCAAGUAGUAUGAUGUCCUGCCCAUGUGGCCAUUCCUUGUCCUGCGUGGAGAUGGCCAGGGACUGACUUACAAUGGCGACUGAGGGAUUAUUCUGAGAUCUAAGGUGACACCGUAAGGCUGGCACACAUGCAGGGACCUGCCAUUGCUUCUGAGUGGUGCUUUCCACAAUCAAACUUCACCCUUGUCAUGUGCACACGGAGUGUUGAAAGACUCAGGAGAUGCUGUCCCUGAUUCCCUGGUCUGCAGACUGCUGGUGCCAAUGGAGGAAAUUUUUCUCUUCUCUUUGUGACUCAUGCCUGCCUCAAUACCAGGACCAGCGUACAGUGGUGACUCCUGCACCAAAGUCAGAGACAGAAGAACAUCCACCCAUCAAAUGUUAAUCCAGACCCACUGUGGUCUGGGACACGUUCCAUGCGGUGAAUUCAGCAGGAACAAGACACAGCCUUCUUGAAAUACAGGACCUAGGAACACAAAAUCUGCAAACUGCACUUAACACAAAAGGGAAGGGGCUGAGAUGGGGAGGAACAAUUCCAAGGUCACUUGGCAAGGAGAGAGAAAAGGAAGACGAGAAAUGCUCUGGACCUGUAACAGUAAGUCUUCUGAGUGUCCUGGGACCAGCCUGCCAGGGAGGGCAUGGGAAAAUCCUCAGCCCAAAUUCUCAGCCCAAAUCCCUCCCUAUGGAGACGGCAUCUCAGUCAGCUCUUUUAGCUGCCUGUAGGGGGCGCGCCUGCCACACUCUGGGUUGAAAGGGAGAGAAAAGACGGUUGAUUCCCAGCUCAGGAACCAAGCUGUCUAG
rnacentral:lncRNA from 1 species